rnacentral:lncRNA from 13 species
UAUAAAGUACACAAAUACUCGCUAAAAAGCAAAGAUUAUAUAACCCCCAUUUAGCACAAAAAGGAUGCCUUUAUGAUGUCCAUCUGCAGCCAAAUUCUGCCUACAUUCCAUCUCAGAGCAUAUAGAUAAGUGCAUUUCUCAAAUUCUGUGGAGGCUAUAGAACUUAAAUAUGAAGACACAUUACUGGUUUCAUUAGAAGCUGUAAUAUACUUGAUUUCAGAGACUGGAUCUUUGUCACAAGGUCUGCAUUAACUCCCAUUUGUUCUUAUUCUGAGGAAAAUAAAGCGUAUUUCUGGAAUUGAAACCUUGAUCUACCAGAGGAAGGAAUUUGCCUUUGGGCUGCCAGCUGCAGGAAGCACAAAAAGCUCAGGAGGGGCAACUUCAUCUUCUCAGUCCUGGAGCUCGUCACAUGCAGAGCCCCUGAAGGAGCAAUAACCACAGGUUUAUCUCUGCAAGCCUGGCUGCACACUGUAAAUGGCAAACACAGCUACAGUACUAGUCAGCAGUGGAAUGUGAUGGUUCUGUCCUCCACCAUAUAAUUUAAAACCUGCUCUCACCCUUGGCAAAUCUCUCAAUUAAAAUCCCAAUCACAGCUUUUCUUGGGCUUUUGGAUAUCAUAAGCCCAAGGGGAGAAACACUGUUUUCUACUAAAAAAAUCAGGCGGUGCUUCAUCUCUACCCAAUAUAUUAGUCAUGCAGAAAAAAAUGCAUUAAAAGAAAUUCAUGUUUCUUAGAAUGAGGUAACUCAGAGCUUGCAAAGCUGCCAGUCUGUAUUUUCAGUUCAACAGGAUAAAGGAACUGGACAUGUAAAAAUAAUUUUCUUGCAAAUUGUACCAAGAUGACUUUAAACAGCUAAAUAAUUGCAAUUACAAUGACAUUAUUUUCAGGCCUUUAAGGAAAAAAAAUGAGGUUAUGUAAGAAUGAAGUGCAACAGAAGUAUUUGUUCUUUCAUAUUUUUGAACAUUUGGAUGUGAUUUGUCACUGUGUUUACGUUUAGAUGCUUUGUGGAUCAAGGCAUGAUGGAGGAAUUAGGUUUCACUUAUAUGAAAAUUCAGGCAAGAUUAAUUUUGUUCUGUAGCCUUUUUUAAGCCUGGGUUUUAACAUUCCACAUCAACUGUCAUACUGAGACAGGGGUUAGGUGAACAUCUGCCAGUAGCACCACAAGCAGUAUUGGUGAUUUUGAGUAGUAACUGGAAUUGGAAGUUUUGCUGAAAAUUAUGAGGUUAAAUAAUAACAAAAAAUCAAAACUUAAAAAAAAAAAUUUGUUUUCAUCUGUCCUGUUUUCUUAAGCGUUCACAUUUCAAAACUUAUCCAUGUGCCCAUAAGAGCUGGAAAAAAAAAUUUCUCAUGCAUUGAAAAAGAGAAGCUGAGUUUCCCAUGUUCCAGGAGCUGGGGCUGCUGAAAGGACAACAGAAUAAAUUUUGAGAAUUGCAAUGUUCUGUAACAGAAAUAGUUGGUGAGAGUUAAAAUAGCAUCACGUUCUUUUGACUGCAUAACUUUGAUAUUUAAAUUAUCUGCUGCAUUCCCUUCCUCUGAUAACUGAACCUUAUGUAAUGGAAAACAAUAAUCUAAUAUCCUAAUAGACUUUUAACAUAGCCAUUAGCCAGCACGUCCAGUGGAAAUAAAUGCCUAUAUUAUUAGUCCAAUCUAUCACGAGAUCUUGCAGCAUUUGGGACAUUCCCUUGGGUCAUCAUUGCACACACCUCCUAUAAUAAAUCUUAAAUUGUGACAAAUAAUGUCUUUUUCCUGUGGAUACCCCCUCUCUUCUAUAUCUGUUUGUUUUCUAAAAUAUAGUGGAUUUUUUAUGCAGCGGGAAAAAUGGUGGUUAAUGAAUGAUAAAAAAAUAUAAUUUAUCCUAUUAAAGCCCAGUCUUUGUUUUCUGUUUCUGUGUGGUUUAGACCUUG